rnacentral:rRNA from 1 species
CAGCAGCCGCGGUAAUACGUAGGUGGCGAGCGUUGUCCGGAAUUAUUGGGCGUAAAGGGAGCGCAGGUGGGAAAGUAAGUCAGUCUUAAAAGUGCGGGGCUCAACCCCGUGAGGGGAUUGAAACUACUUUUCUUGAGUGCAGGAGAGGAAAGCGGAAUUCCUAGUGUAGCGGUGAAAUGCGUAGAUAUUAGGAGGAACACCAGUGGCGAAGGCGGCUUUCUGGACUGUAACUGACACUGAGGCUCGAAAGCCAGGGGAGCGAACGGGAUUAGAUACCCCGGUAGUCCUGGCCGUAAACGAUGGAUACUAGGUGUAGGAGGUAUCGACCCCUUCUGUGCCGGAGUUAACGCAAUAAGUAUCCCGCCUGGGGAGUACGGUCGCAAGACUGAAACUCAAAGGAAUUGACGGGGGCCCGCACAAGCGGUGGAGUAUGUGGUUUAAUUCGACGCAACGCGAAGAACCUUACCAGGGCUUGACAUUGAUUGAAACCUCUAGAGAUAGAGGCCUCUCUUCGGAGACAAGAAAACAGGUGGUGCAUGGCC